rnacentral:rRNA from 1 species
GUCCGAGUUGUAAUUGAAGAGGAAUGUCAUCCACGCUGACCAUGUCUAAAUUGUAAUGAUCCACAGUCCUUUGAUGGAGUAUCAGAGAGGCUAAAUAUCCCGUCUUUAACAUGGACUACCAGUGUUUCUGUGAUGCACUCUCUCAGAGUCGAGUAGUUUGGGAAUGCUGCUCUAAUGGGAGGUAAACUCCUUCUAAAGCUAAAUAUUGGCGAGAGACCGAUAGCGAACAAGUACCGUGAGGGAAAGAUGAAAAGAACUCUGGAAAGAGAGUCAAAUAGAACGUGAAAUUGCUGAAAGGGAAGCGUUUGGAGUCAGACACAUCUUUCAUGCUAUACCACUCAGCAGCAGGAAGGCUGAGAGCCGGUUACUUGAAGAUGGGCCAGCACUCACGAAGGCCAUUGAAGAAGGGGUCAUGGAAUGUAGCUCAGUCUUGAGUGAUUAUAGCCUUGAUUCAGAAGCAAUGUGUCUUUGUGUGAGAGAUGAAUAGCACCAACUUGAUUUGAGUGCUUGAUUUGACUGGCAUAAUGGCUCUAAGCGACCCGUCUUGAAACACGGACCAAGGAGUCUAACAUGUAUGCGAGUAUUAGAGUGAUUGAAACUCUCAAUGCGCAAUGAAAGUGUUUUUGACUGAGAAUCCCAUCAAUGGGAGGCAUCAGUACCCCGAGUCUCUGUUAGUCUUUGACUAAAGAUUUGGAGGCAGAGCAUACAUGUUGGGACCCGAAAGAUGGUGAACUAUGCCUGAAUAGGGUGAAGUCAGAGGAAACUCUGAUGGAGGCCCGUAGCGAUUCUGACGUGCAAAUCGAUCGUAGAAUUUG